rnacentral:rRNA from 1 species
AACGAACGCUGGCGGCAUGCCUAACACAUGCAAGUCGAACGAGACCUUCGGGUCUAGCGGCGCACGGGUGCGUAACGCGUGGGAACCUGCCCUUAGGUUCGGAAUAACUCCCCGAAAGGGGUGCUAAUACCGGAUAAUGUCUUCGGACCAAAGAUUUAUCGCCUUUGGAUGGGCCCGCGUUGGAUUAGCUAGUUGGUAGGGUAAAAGCCUACCAAGGCGACGAUCCAUAGCUGGUGUGAGAGGAUGAUCAGCCACACUGGGACUGAGACACGGCCCAGACUCCUACGGGAGGCAGCAGUGGGGAAUAUUGGACAAUGGGCGAAGGCAUGAUCCAGCAAUGCCGGGUGAGUGAUGAAGGCCUUAGGGUUGUAAAGCUCUUUUACCCGGGAUGAUAAUGACAGUACCGGGAGAAUAAGCUCCGGCUAACUCCGUG